UACGGGAGGCAGCAGUGGGGAAUAUUGGACAAUGGGGGCAACCCUGAUCCAGCCAUGCCGCGUGUGUGAAAGAAGGGCCUUUUGGUUGUAAAGCUCUUUACAUGCAUGUGAAGGAAGACCCAACUGGUUAAUACCCCGUAGGCGAUGACAUUGCU
rnacentral:rRNA from 1 species